rnacentral:rRNA from 1 species
AUUGAACGCUGGCGGCAGGCCUAACACAUGCGAGUCGAGCGGAUGAAGGGAGCUUGCUCCUGGAUUCAGCGGCGGACGGGUGAGUAGUGCCCAGGAAUCUGCCUGGUAGUGGGGGAUAACGUCCGGAAACGGGCGCUAAUACCGCAUACGUCCUGAGGGAGAAAGUGGGGGAUCUUCGGACCUCACGCUAUCAGAUGAGCCUAGGUCGGAUUAGCUAGUUGGUGGGGUAAAGGCCUACCAAGGCGACGAUCCGUAACUGGUCUGAGAGGAUGAUCAGUCACACUGGAACUGAGACACGGUCCGGACUCCUACGGGAGGCAGCAGUGGGGAAUAUUGGACAAUGGGCGAAAGCCUGAUCCAGCCAUGCCGCGUGUGUGAAGAAGGUCUUCGGAUUGUAAAGCACUUUAAGUUGGGAGGAAGGGCAGUAAGUUAAUACCUUGCUGUUUUGACGUUACCAACAGAAUAAGCACCGGCUAACUUCGUG